AAUUGUUAAUUUAAUAAAAAAGUGUAGUAAAAUCAAUAAUAAAUAAACUGAAAGGGGGAGGCUUCAGUUUAUUUAUUAUUAAAAGAUUUUACGUUGUACCUUUUGUAUCAGGGUUAAUUUAAAGUUUCUUUUUAGAAUAAUUUCUCGAAAAAAAAAGAUUUAAACUAAUUGUUAAAUUAUUGUGUAAUAAUUAAUUAUUAUUUUGGUUUGGAUUUGAAAAAAAUACAGAUUUUUUAUAUCUAGUUACUUUAUUUUUUAAUUUAAUUAAAUUAAUUUGAUAUUGAGUACAUUGAUCACGUAUUCAAAUUAAAAAAUUUUGUAAGGAUAAGCUUAUAUAAUUAAUAGUAGUUGGGGGACUGCUAUUUAAUUUAUUUGCUUAUAAUUUGCAAUUUAUUUAAUAUGUAAAAAUUAAUUUAUUUAUAAUAAUAGUUUAAAAAUAACUCUAAUAGGGGGUUAAAGUUAUUUAUAAGAACUAUUAUAUUAAAAAAAUAAUGAUUGAAUUAGUAGAAUAAAAAAAUAAUAGUUAAGAAUUCGGCAAAUUUAAUUUUCGACUGUUUAUCAAAAACAUUUCUGUAAGGAAUAUAUUUUUAGUAUCACCUGCUCAAUGCUUAGGUAAAUAGCUGCAGUAUUUUGACUGUACAAAGGUAGCAUAAUCAUUAGUCUUUUAAUUAAAGGCUUGUAUGAAUGGUGGAACGUGAAAUUAACUUUUUUAUUAUUAUGAAAUUUGAAUUUAAUUUUUAAGUAAAAAAGCUUAAUUAUUUAAGAGGGACGAUAAGACCCUAUAGAAUUUAAAAAUAAACUUGAAAAAUUAUUUUUUAGUUGGGGUGACUAGAAACUAACUUUUCUUUUUUAAUUACUGGUAAGUAAAUUUAAGAUCCUAAAAUUUAGAUAAUAAGAUCUAAUUACCUUAGGGAUAACAGCAUAAUUUUUCUUUAAAGAUCAUAUUUGUAGAAAAGAUUAUGACCUCGAUGUUGAAUUAAAAUUAUAUUUAGGUGUAGUAAUUUAAAUAUUAAGUCUGUUCGACUUUAGAAUUUUACAUGAUUUGAGUUCAAACCGGCGUGAGCCAGGUUGGCUUCUAUCUUCUUGUAUAUUUUUUUAAUUUAGUACGAAAGGAUUAGUUAAAUUAAUUUUUAUUAUUUUGUAGUUAUUUAAAAUUAAACUUUCGU
rnacentral:rRNA from 1 species